rnacentral:rRNA from 1 species
UACGGGGGGGCAAGCGUUGUUUCGGAAUUACUGGGCGUAAAGGGCUCGUAGGCGGCCAACUAAGUCAGACGUGAAAUCCCUCGGCUUAACCGGGGGAACUGCAUCUGAUACUGGAUGGCUUGAGUUCGGGAGAGGGAUGCGGAAUUCCAGGUGUAGCGGUGAAAUGCGUAGAUAUCUGGAGGAAUACCGGUGGCGAAGGCGGCAUCCUGGACCGGCAUUGACGCUGAGGAGCGAAAGCCAGGGGAGCAAAGCGGG